CUGAGGAAGCAGGAAUGGAAUGGGGGGAGAUGAGAAAACCAGGGAUGAAAGCGAGAGGAAGGACAGACCGCAGGAGCGAGCAGAGCGGAGGGGUGUGAGGGAAUGCACGGGAGCAGGAAGGAAGGAGGGAUGAGCGAGGGAGCGGAGACUGGCUCGGGGGUGGGCAGGCAGAGAUGGAGGAGAGGAUGAGACGCCCCCAGAGGAGUCCGCCGGGAGCCGUGAGAGUUUGAGAAGGUGCCAAACUUGAGAACCUGGGAGAGGAUUUGCAGAAGUGGUGACCACUCAAAGUUAUCAAUGGAAGCUUUCCUUUGAACAUAUAUAGUGCCAUAUAAUGCUAAGUGUUCUGUGUUAAGUGCCUAGGCAUCUCAAAUUGGGCACCCAAAAUUAGUGGAUAUAUAGAUUCAUAGAUUCUAGCACUGGAAGGGACCUCGAGAGGUCAUCGAGUCCAGUCCCCUGCCCUCAUGGCAGGACCAAAUACUGUCUAGACCAUCCCUGAUAGACAUUUAUCUAACCUACUCUUAAAUAUCUCCAGAGAUGGAGAUUCCACAACCUCCCUAGGCAGUUUAUUCCAGUGUUUAACCACCCUGAGAGUUAGGAAUUUUUUCCUAAUGGCCAACCUAAAACUCCCUUGCUGCUGUUUAAGCCCAUUGCUUCUUGUUCUAUCCUUAGAGGCUAAGGUGAACAAGUUUUCUCCCUCCUCCUUAUGACACCCUUUUAGAUACCUUUUACCUUAAUUGCCUCCGCUCCCCAUCCGUACAAUGGGGAUAUACUACCCCCUCACCGCACAGGGGGGUCUUACAUUAAUGUUUGUGAAGCACUUAGAUACUAAAGUGAUGAGUGCCAUAAAAAAGCCCAUGAGGAAAUUAAUAAUUCUGUUUUCAGAGCAGGAUUUGAAUAGUGUGCCAUAUAUAAGGCCUCAAGCUACACAAUGUACAAUGAGGAUAAAAAAAAUAUCGAAAAGCUGCUUAUUAAUUGAUCAUUGUCUAUCCUGUGCACUGAAUGAGGCAGAUGUCAUAUGGAAAAACUAAUAUGUGACUAUUUAAUUAAAACCUGUAUCAUAAUCUGUAUCAUAGUGCAUAUAUCAAAAAGAGUUCAGGAGAAUUAGCAGGUUUUUUAGAGAGACAUUAUUAAGGGCACAAAAGCAACCUAUCUCAGUGCAUAGGAAAGAUAAGAAGUAUGGUAAGAGAUCACCCUAACUUAACCAGGAGAUCUUCAAGGAUCUGGAACUCAAAAAAGAAUCAUACCAAAGGUGGAAAUGAAGUCAAAUUACGAAGGAUGAAUAUAAAAAAAAACAACACAAGCAUGUAAUGACAAAAUUAAAAAGGCCAAGGCACAAAAUGAGAUUAAACUAGCUGGAUACCUAAAGCCUAACAAACAUGAGAGGCAAGAGGAAAACCAAGGACAAGAAAAAGUUAGCAGUGAUUGGACAACUAACAGUGAACGUCAGUGUAAAUGAGGGAGAAGCAUUAGUUUUGGAGUGGAGUUGCAAUAUAUAUUCCUGAAACUGCAAUUCACCGCUGGAUGCAGAACAGGGGAGGGCAAGAAGGGCAAUGUUUGCUGGAGUUUCUCAUUGCUUUCCACUGCAAAAAUGUUAUUUCUAACAACAAAGCUACAUGCCUGAUACUUGUUACUUUAAUCUGUUCCUAGAAACAACCCUUUUUCUUUUUAAAGUUUACUUUUUACUGACUUUUUCAAAUGACACGGUUUUGGUCACUAUAGCUUUUCAUCCUUGUAGCUGUUCUGAAGGUCCAAAAAGAACAAUUGCAGCAGAAAUGCAAUGUAAGGAAACAAAAGAAACACUAGUUAAUCUGUAGAAACUGAAACUUCCCCUGCUGGACCCUGUCGUUCACGCUCAGAUGAUGUAGAUCCCAAGUGACUUUGUAUGCGUGCCACUGUAUCACAGUUUUGAACAGCUCUAUUGUCUCAUAUUUUGGGUUCAGCAAAUUCAAUAUGAUUCAGUCCCUAGGUGUUUUGGCAUGGCUCAAGUGAUUAUAAAAACACGGGAAACUUGAAAUUUUCAACACAGGGAACUUUAGAUUUUGUAUUUUACAAUAGCCUCAGUAAUAGUGAUGGUGCCAAACUGAAGAAAUUUACUGUAGAGGGAAGUCAUCUCAAUAUGGAACCAAACUGUGAUCUAUACUAGGAACCUGAAAUAAACUUGGUGAGGCUGAGAUUUAGUGCCCUACAACUUUCAUGGUACAGUAGCUUGAAUGCAGACAGAAAAAGAAUGAAAAAUGUAUUUCCACUAGGAAAGUAUAUUCAUAUUUUUAAUAGGAAUUACCUGGUCCACUGUGUAAAAUGAUAUUUAGGACUGUAGAAAAAUAUUUGCAGUAUCAAGUGAUCAUAAAACAGAAUGGAAGGCCCUAGGUGGAGCUAAUGUGGAGUUCAACGUGGCUCAGGAAUUUGCCAAUUCUGUUUUAAAAAAUAAAAUUAUUUGUCCACUGUCAUAUGGUAUUGCUGAGAUGCAUAUUUGUUGAAGCAGAAGUUGUUAGGCUCAGAAUAAUUUAAUUGAGAGUGGUGAAGGUGUGUAAUAUGACAGUCCAACUCCCCAGUUCUCAUGGCUAAAACCGCAUCUACAUUACAGCAAAGAUAAUACAUCGAACAGGAUGUCUUGGUCAAAAUAUCAGGUCCCCUGGCUUUCCAAAGAUUA